rnacentral:rRNA from 1 species
CCGCCAAAUGGCUAAGCCGCGAACGGCUCAUUAAAUCAGCUAUGGUUCCUUAGAUCUUCGGCCGCGUCUUCGGGCGCGGCGUUUGGAUAACUGUGGUAAUUCUAGAGCUAAUACAUGCCUGACGCCGUCGGGGCCCGCGAGGGUCGCGACGUCUUUAUCCCGUCAAGACCAGCCGACGCAGCGCGGUUCUCGGACCGUGGCGGUCGACCUCCUUGAUGAACUCUGGAUAACUUACCUCGAGCGCAUGGCCUUGCGCCGGCGCCGGAUCUAAUAAAUGUCUGCCUUAUCAACUGUCGACGGUAGGAGCCCGGCCUACCGUGGUGAUAACGGGUAGCGGGGAAUAAGGGUUCUAUACCGGA